AUGGCGGCGAUGAAUGUGUCGAGGGCCAUCGGCGCGGCUCUGCGGAGCCCGGCCUCGUCACCGGUGGCGGAGGCGGCGGCCGCAGCGAAAGCCAAGGACGCCGAGAAGCUGCGCUUCAUCGAUGAGAUGACCUGCAACGUCGACUCCGUGCAGGAGCGCGUCCUGGCCGAGAUCCUCGCCCGGAACGUCGACACGGAGUACCUCAAGAACUGCGGCCUCGACGGCGCCGCCGACCGCGACACCUUCCGGGCCAAGGUGCCGGUCGUGUCCUACGACGCUCUGCAGCCCUACAUCCAGCGCAUUGUCAAUGGGGAUCGGUCACCGAUCCUGUCCACGCACCCGGUCUCCGAGUUCCUCACCAGCUCCGGCACGUCGGCCGGCGAGCGCAAGCUUAUGCCCACCAUCAAGGACGAGCUCGACCGCCGCCAGCUCCUCUACAGCCUCCUGAUGCCGGUCAUGAACCUAUAUCUGUCGGGGCUUGACAAGGGGAAGGGCCUCUACUUCCUGUUCGUCAAGUCGGAGACCAAGACCCCGAGCGGCCUGACGGCGCGGCCAGUGCUCACCAGCUACUACAAGAGCGAGCAGUUCAAGAACCGCCCCUACGACCCCUACCACAACUACACCAGCCCGACGGCGGCCAUCCUCUGCGCGGACGCCUUCCAGAGCAUGUACGCGCAGAUGGUGUGCGGGCUCUGCCAGCGCCACGAGGUGCUCCGCGUCGGCGCCGUGUUCGCCUCCGGCCUCCUGCGCGCGAUCCGUUUCCUCCAGCUCAACUGGAAGGAGCUCGCCGCCGACAUCGAGGCCGGCGCGCUCAACCCACGCGUCACCGACGCGUCCGUGCGCGAGGCGGUCGCGGGAAUCCUCCGGCCAGACCCCGAGCUCGCCCAGUUCGUCCGGGACGAGUGUUGCAAUGACGACUGGGCCGGCAUCGUCAGGCGCAUUUGGCCCAACACCAAGUAUCUCGACGUCAUCGUCACCGGCGCCAUGGCGCAGUACAUCGGGACCCUCAAGUACUACAGCGGCGACCUUCCGAUGGCGUGUACCAUGUACGCGUCAUCGGAGUGUUACUUCGGGCUCAACCUUCGCCCGCUCUGCGACCCUUCGGAGGUGUCCUACACCAUCAUGCCCAACAUGGGGUACUUCGAGUUCCUCCCCGUGGACGAGGCGACCGGCGCGGCGUCGUGCGUGGACGCGGGCAACCUGGUGGACCUCGCCCGCGUGGAGGCCGGGCGGGAGUACGAGCUGGUGAUCACCACCUACGCCGGGCUGAACCGGUACCGCGUCGGCGACGUCCUCCGCGUGACGGGGUUCCACAAUGCGGCGCCUCAGUUCCAGUUCGUCCGCCGCAAGAACGUCCUGCUGUCCAUCGAGUCGGACAAGACCGACGAGGCGGAGCUGCAGCGCGCCGUGGAGCGCGCGUCGGCGCUGCUCCGCCCGCACGGCGCGUCCGUGGCGGAGUACACCAGCCAGGCGUGCACCAAGAGCAUCCCCGGCCACUACGUGAUCUACUGGGAGCUGCUGACGACGGGCGCCGGCGCGACGGCGGUGGACAAGGCCACCCUGGACGCCUGCUGCCUGGAGAUGGAGGAGGCGCUGAACACGGUGUACAGGCAGAGCAGGGUGGCGGACGGCUCCAUCGGGCCGCUCGAGAUCCGGGUCGUCCGGGCGGGCACGUUCGAGGAGCUCAUGGACUACGCCAUCUCCCGGGGCGCCAGCAUCAACCAGUACAAGGCCCCCCGCUGCGUGACGUUCCCGCCGAUCAUCGAGCUGCUGGACUCGCGCGUGGUGUCCAGCCACUUCAGCCCCGCCCUGCCGCACUGGACCCCGGCACGGCGCUCCGACUAG
rnacentral:rRNA from 1 species